rnacentral:rRNA from 1 species
UACCGGAUAACAACACUAGACGCAUGUCUAGAGUUUGAAAGAUGGUUCUGCUAUCACUCUUGGAUGGACCUGCGGUGCAUUAGCUAGUUGGUAAGGUAACGGCUUACCAAGGCAAUGAUGCAUAGCCGAGUUGAGAGACUGAUCGGCCACAUUGGGACUGAGACACGGCCCAAACUCCUACGGGAGGCAGCAGUAGGGAAUCUUCCACAAUGGACGAAAGUCUGAUGGAGCAACGCCGCGUGAGUGAAGAAGGGUUUCGGCUCGUAAAGCUCUGUUGGUAGUGAAGAAAGAUAGAGGUAGUAACUGGCCUUUAUUUGACGGUAAUUACUUAGAAAGUCACGGCUAACUACGUGCCAGCAGCCGCGGUAAUACGUAGGUGGCAAGCGUUGUCCGGAUUUAUUGGGCGUAAAGCGAGUGCAGGCGGUUCAAUAAGUCUGAUGUGAAAGCCUUCGGCUCAACCGGAGAAUUGCAUCAGAAACUGUUGAACUUGAGUGCAGAAGAGGAGAGUGGAACUCCAUGUGUAGCGGUGGAAUGCGUAGAUAUAUGGAAGAACACCAGUGGCGAAGGCGGCUCUCUGGUCUGCAACUGACGCUGAGGCUCGAAAGCAUGGGUAGCGAACAGGAUUAGAUACCCUGGUAGUCCAUGCCGUAAACGAU